GUGACAUACCUAUACGUUGCCUCGGCGGAUCAGCCCGCGCCCUGUAAAAAGGGACGGCCCGCCCGAGGACCCUAAACUCUGUUUUUAGUGGAACUUCUGAGUAAAACAAACAAAUAAAUCAAAACUUUCAACAACGGAUCUCUUGGUUCUGGCAUCGAUGAAGAACGCAGCAAAAUGCGAUAAGUAAUGUGAAUUGCAGAAUUCAGUGAAUCAUCGAAUCUUUGAACGCACAUUGCGCCCCCAGUAUUCUGGCGGGCAUGCCUGUUCGAGCGUCAUUUCAACCCUCAAGCUCAGCUUGGUGUUGGGACUCGCGGUAACCCGCGUUCCCCAAAUCGAUUGGCGGUCACGUCGAGCUUCCAUAGCGUAGUAAUCAUACACCUCGUUACUGGUAAUCGUCGCGGCCACGCCGUAAAACCCCAACUUCUGAAUGUUGACCUCGGAUCAGGUAGGAAUACCCGCUGAACUUAAGCAUAUCAA
rnacentral:rRNA from 1 species